GACGACGCUGGCGGCGUGCCUAAUACAUGCAAGUAGGACGAGUUGCGAACGGGUGAGUAACGAGUCGGUAAAUGGCUAUUAGAGGGGAAUAACUAUUGGAAACGAUAGCUAAUACCGCCUACUAGUAGAUGGAGCUGCGUUGUAUUGGCUAGUAUGUAGGGUAAUGGCCUACCUAGUCGACGAUACAUAGCUGACCUGAGAGGGUGAUCGGCCACACUGGAACUGAGACACGGUCCAGACUCCUACGGGAGGCAGCAGUGGGGAAUAUUGCACAAUGGGCGCAAGCCUGAUGCAGCCAUGCCGCGUGUAUGAAGAAGGCCUUCGGGUUGUAAAGUACUUUCAGCGGGGAGGCGUUACCCGCAGAAGAAGCACCGGCUAACUCCGUGCCAGCAGCCGCGGUAAUAC
rnacentral:rRNA from 1 species